rnacentral:rRNA from 1 species
CAGGACGAACGCUGGCGGCGUGCCUAAUACAUGCAAGUCGAACGGUCUUUCUAUGGAAGCUGCUUCCACUGAGAAGAUAGUGGCGAACGGGUGAGUAACACGUGGGUAACCUGCCCAUAAGAGGGGGAUAACAUCCGGAAACGGGUGCUAAUACCGCAUAGUUUUCUUGAUCGCAUGAUUGAGAAAGGAAAGACGGCCUUUGUGCUGUCGCUUAUGGAUGGACCCGCGGCGUAUUAGUUGGUUGGUGAGGUAACGGCUCACCAAGACGAUGAUACGUAGCCGACCUGAGAGGGUGAUCGGCCACAUUGGGACUGAGACACGGCCCAAACUCCUACGGGAGGCAGCAGUAGGGAAUCUUCCGCAAUGGACGAAAGUCUGACGGAGCAACGCCGCGUGAGUGAAGGUAAAGGGUUUUCGGAUACGUAAAACUCUGUUGUCAGAGAAGAACAAGUUGGAGAGUAACUGCUCCAGCCUUGACGGUAUCUGACCAGAAAGCCACGGCUAACUACGUGCCAGCCGCAGC